CCGUCGCUGUGCAUUUUGCACUUUGGUCCCUUGCAAAUUGGGGAAUUAACCCACAAUCCUUUUCCCCCCCUUCGUGCGAGACGAGAGCUAGGGUUCCACAAUCCCUUUCUCUUCCUCCUAGGUGGCCGCCGCCGGACUUCAUCGCUCCACCACGUGCGUCGGCGCCACCACCUACCUCUCGCGGCCGUACGUGCGGGAAGCUGUCCGAGUUGCGCCUGUGCCUUGGGGAAUCGUCACCGCCGCCAGGCCAGACCGAGGAGGAGUGGCUCCACGGGAACUACGCCGUCGGCUGCCCCUACACAUCCUCAGUCUGCGCCCGCGCCGGCGAAAUCCGCCAAUCCGACAACUCGUUCCUGUGCCGCUGCGUCCUCCGAGGCCCUCGCCUGGUGGGUAGCAUCACGGGGGGCCGUCGCCUGCCUCAACCCUCGAUGCCUCCCGUAUCUCCGUCGUCCUCCGCCUUCCGGAGGCCUGCUCUGUUUGGGCAGGGCGAAGAAGGUGCCCAAUCUUCCUGAUUUUACCUCUUCCAUGAACCUCUUUGGAUGGUCAACGCGGGCAAGUGCAGGGCUACAUCGACUACGGAGCAGCGAUAAGGGGCAUUGGAGCAGGCACGACCAACCACCAACAAGGGUACGAUCCCUGUUCCUCCUCCACUCUCCCUCCCUCUCCCUAUACAUCUCGUCGUUGUCAUGAAUGAAUGUAUGUGAAUGCCAUCUCCAACGAUAGAAGGCUCUUCUGCCUGGCUACUCACCAAAUCCUUUGGGACGUCACCUUGCAGUGAUCUCAAUCCUCUCUUCGUAUUUUUAAUUGCCUCUUUAUAUUGUGGCUGCAACAAGAUGUUAAUUAGUAUGGAGUUCAGUGGAAUCACUUGGAUAUAUGUACCAAUUGAAGCAAGUUCAGUGGAAUCACUUGGACUAACAUUUUGUUAGUUUCUGAAUAAAAGAUGCACUUACAAAUGUUCCCUGCAGGCUUUUAGCACACCAGUACAUCCAGAUUUGAAUCUACCACACACUUUAUUUGGGUUGUUCUUCAUGUCGUUUCAUUUUCUGUACUUAAAGUGCUUGAGGUACUAUCAUACUUCUUGUGUAACAUCAUUCAGUCUUUGAUUAAACUAAGUUCUCUCUCUAAAAGGAGAAGUAGUACUGCUGCAAAUGUUUAUCAGAUGCCAUCGUUACUACAGAAUGAUGCUAUAUAGUAUAUACUAUGAAAUAAUAGUUACAUUUUCAUGAAAAUCAGAAUCAUUGCUGGAGAAUGACACUGCUAUGCAGAAUUACAUUUAUGUACCGAUUUGCACACUUGAAUCUAACUGUAGUUAACGUGCUAAUUUUACUAGAAGGAUGGUGUAUCUUAUUAAUUGUGUUUAACAUGUUACUCUUUCCGAUAUUACUGCUAAUUUUAAUGUAAUCCCUUGCUCGGCAUUUAAAAUUCAUGACAUCUUUCAUAAGUGGGUUCUUGAAUUGGCAGCAGACAAAUAGGUGUGAUGUUCAUAAGUUCAGUGUCUUGCAUGAACAGUAAAGUGAAUAUACACCAUGUCUUUGCUUGAUUUCAUUUUUUGUUAUUAGAACGUCACUGCAGUCUAUGCCAUUAGGAUAAGCAGAAGUGUCAUUCGCAUUGAAGAACAUAACUUUACCCGUAAGAGAUCUACACGAUUUAGCAUGGAUUUUCCAAGUUAUGUUCAUCUGUAGAGAAGUCAUUGCCGUUUCUGUUCAACAGGUGUAUGCAAACCAGUACUGAUCAUGCAAGAAAAUAUUGUGGGACAGGGCUUGGCCUUGUGAUUUUCAAGCAAUUGGUUUGUUUUCUCUCAGUUCCAAUUACUGAUUCAUCUAAAAUACACAGUUAAGAUAUUAGGUAUGUAUUAAAUACUAAACUUGGGAACACAACGAUAAUUAUUUGAGUGUUAGCUGUAGCAAAAGCAGGCCCAGUGUGAUUUAUAAAAUUCUAGAACUAUUUCACUGAAUUUCCGCAAUAAUUUAGGUGGAGUUGCUGGGCGGUACUCUUAAUUGUGGUUCGCAACGAGAAUAAAGGAUCAACAUUUACAUUCAUUCUCAUUGCUAACCAUAGUUUUCUGUAAAAAAAGGAGCACUGUGGAGUUGAUGGGUGGUACUCUAGGUGUGGUGCAUGUCAUCUGGUCUUGUGCGAGUGAGUAGCAAGAUGGGUGCUGAGCUCUCUCAGAUCCGGGAACCACACCUGCUGCCGCCACCGGAUACCUAUGGGUGCAGAGCCAUUGCCGACCUCACCGGAAAUGCCGCGCCGUCCAUCUUGUUCCUCCCUCACUGGCAAGACCGUAUGGUGUGCACAUGAUGUCUUCCUCCUUCCCCGACUGUUUGGCUGCAGGCACCACACCUACAUCAAUCUGAUUCAUUGCGUCAGGUGUAGUCAUGAAGUCAAUCAUCCGCAACUAGGGAUUGUUCAGGAGGUAUAGACAUUUAAAUUGGUAAGCCCAUUUUGGUUCAACAUCCAAUCACUAAAUAGGUAUGGACGUGUCAUCAAGACAUGAAGGUGUAUUGCUGGUCUUGUUUCGACAGCUUGAUGUGCUUAUUUGUAGGAGAACUCCAAGGCUAAACAUGGAAAAUAUUAGAAAGCCAGACUUAAAAUGAAUUUGUACAAAAAUAGUUUCCUACCAAGCCAAGCCUGCUUAUAUCCGUCGUUGAUAGUAAACAGAGCUCGGCAGCAUUCUGUUGGUACCUCAUAUUACCAUCUACCGUUUUGUAGUGAUAUUCACACUUGACAGUUUAAAUCCCCAUAUGCAAAAAUUAUUGGCAUUAGAUUCGUUUCGACCGAUCAUGCUCUAAAAACGGCAACACCAUAAUCCCUAAAUUAAGUCGGGUUAGAACUGUAGAACGACUGGUGUUUCUAUUUGAAGGCCUCUUUGUGCUUCCUUUGCUCUUUGUUGUUUCUCUCUUGUGUCGUAUUUUUUUCUUAUCCGAUUUUACAUGUCUACCUAUGAGCAGGAGGAUGGAAAUUUCACCAAAAUUCAGGUGCUUUUAACCGACCAUUACUUUCUACUACUUCACCAGCUGCACUACAUCAUAGUCACAACAAUGGUGUAUACAUAUACAACUCUUGUUAGUAAAUAAAAAGGUGGACUUGAGGAUAUAAAAAUAAUAAUGAUGCACACAUAUACAAGUUCUCUUUCAUUUCUGAAAUGGGCAAAGUUUAAGUGCAUCUGCUCAUGAAUUACCCACUAUUUUUAGAAGUCAUUAUUCGAGAAUUAACCUUUGACUCAGAAUAAUUAGAGGCCAAUUUUGCACAAUAUUGUUUGCUUCCAUAGUAACUUGUGUAUUGUUUUGAUUUUACUUUCAGGAUAUGAGUGCAGCAUCAUAGGGGGAUCACGAGGAGCUAGGAAACUAUUGAGUCUAUUUUUUUGCAGUUUGUUUCAGAGAAGCCCAUGUUAGUUUUACAUGUGAUUUUGGCAGCUGAUUCUGUUUGUGGUUAUAUUAAGGUCUAUGAAUUGCAAUUGUGCUAUUUUUCAUAAUAAAGGGAAAAAGGAGUGCUGCUUAGGCUCUGCUCAAAACUUUGUAGUGCACACAUAACUCAGUUCAUUGACUAGGUGAAUCCAUUAGAUGCGUAUAACUUGAGCCUUGUGUAAUUUGCAGUUUAGUGACUGUCACUAUUUCUAGGUAUAUAAUUUGGGAGCACACAAUUUCUUGACCCCUGUUACUAUGUUAGUAGUAUAGAUUGUUGCAGAAUAUAGGUAUUUCUGAAAUUCUUCUUACUUUAUCCUGUUAAUAUGAAUGGUUUGUGGAUUAAUAAAAUGAAAACCUUAAAUCUUGGUAUGAUUAUGUAAAAUGUGGACCUGCGCCCUGCACAAUUUUGUUUAUAUAGAACCUAGGCAUGGCUGGUGCUAUACUAUUUCAUCUUUCAUUUGUUGUUCAGUAGUACUUCCAAAUCUCUAAAUCAUGUUUUGCCAUUUGAAUUAAUUUAGUUACAAUUCACUCGGUUCUCUAGCCUUACAGAUGAGAGAUGCCAUAGUAAAUCAGAAUUAAUAACACCGACAGUUAUAAUAGUUCGGCAUUGGAAGGUAUGUCGGGUGUUUGGGAAGAGAAGCAUGGUGCCGGAAACGUACACAAAUUGCUUUUGGUUCUCUACCCAUCUGAUCUCAAUUAAGAUCACUGGAGUUUGUGAAAGUUAAAUUAUUGUCUGUUAAAUGCUUUUUUUGAACUACUAAAUUGUGUUGUUUGUGUUUUCUUCUCAUGUAGAUAUCGUGGAUUAUACUCGAAUAUAAUCAUCAAGUCCUUUUCUAUAGAAUUGGCUGAGAACUGCCUAAGAAUUGGCUGCUUGAUUCUUGAUAGAAAAGGCUUACCAUGUCCAUCGCAAUUUUACAUCGGCAGUAGGGAUUCAUGGUGACAUACACAGUAGGGAUUCAUGGUGACAUACACCAGCAUAGUGGAGCUUCUCACUUUAUGCUCUCCUUCUAACCGGAGUUUGCAGCUUUUGCUCCUAAAUGUAUCUGCUGAUCAAAUGACUUGGUAUUUCAGUGUUUGGUGGUGAUACAUUUCUGGACUCAGCUUAACUUUUUAAAAGAGUGCAAUAAAUAAUUAUUAAUAAAAUAUAAUUAGUCUACGGUGUAAAUAUAAAUUAUAAAGAUAACAAUUGGGCAUGUGUUUGUUAGGUUAGAACUGUAGAACGACUGGUGUUUCUAUUUGAAGGCCUCUUUGUGCUUCCUUUGCUCUUUGUUGUUUCUCUCUUGUGUCGUAUUUUUUUCUUGUCCGAUUUUACAUGUCUACCUAUGAGCAGGAGGAUGGAAAUUUCACCAAAAUUCAGGUGCUUUUAACCGACCAUUACUUUCUACUACUUCACCAGCUGCACUACAUCAUAGUCACAACAAUGGUGUAUACAUAUACAACUCUUGUUAGUAAAUAAAAAGGUGGACUUGAGGAUAUAAAAAUAAUAAUGAUGCACACAUAUACAAGUUCUCUUUCAUUUCUGAAAUGGGCAAAGUUUAAGUGCAUCCGCUCAUGAAUUACCCACUAUUUUUAGAAGUCAUUAUUCGAGAAUUAACCUUUGACUCAGAAUAAUUAGAGGCCAAUUUUGCACAAUAUUGUUUGCUUCCAUAGUAACUUGUGUAUUGUUUUGAUUUUACUUUCAGGAUAUGAGUGCAGCAUCAUAGGGGGAUCACGAGGAGCUAGGAAACUAUUGAGUCUAUUUUUUUGCAGUUUGUUUCAGAGAAGCCCAUGUUAGUUUUACAUGUGAUUUUGGCAGCUGAUUCUGUUUGUGGUUAUAUUAAGGUCUAUGAAUUGCAA